GAUGAACGCUGGCGGCGUGCUUAACACAUGCAAGUCGAACGGUGAAGCAGAGCUUGCUCUGUGGAUCAGUGGCGAACGGGUGAGUAACACGUGAGCAACCUGCCCCGGACUCUGGGAUAAGCGCUGGAAACGGCGUCUAAUACCGGAUACGAGAUUCCACCGCAUGGUGAGUUUCUGGAAAGAUUGUUUGGUCUGGGAUGGGCUCACGGCCUAUCAGCUUGUUGGUGAGGUAAUGGCUCACCAAGGCGUCGACGGGUAGCCGGCCUGAGAGGGUGACCGGCCACACUGGGACUGAGACACGGCCCAGACUCCUACGGGAGGCAGCAGUGGGGAAUAUUGCACUAUGGGCGGAAGCCUGAUGCAGCAACGCCGCGUGAGGGAUGACGGCCUUCGGGUUGUAAACCUCUUUUAGCAGGGAAGAAGCGAAAGUGACGGUACCUGCAGAAAAAGCGCCGGCUAACUACGUGCCAGCAGCCGCCGUAAAAC
rnacentral:rRNA from 1 species